UACGUAGGGUGCGAGCGUUAAUCGGAAUUACUGGGCGUAAAGCGUGCGCAGGCGGUUUUGUAAGCCAGAUGUGAAAGCCCCGGGCUCAACCUGGGAAUGGCGAUGGAUACUGGCUCGCUAGAGUGCGGUAGAGGGUGGUGGAAUUCCCGGUGUAGCAGUGAAAUGCGUAGAGAUCGGGAGGAACAUCAGUUGCGAAGGCGGCCACCUGGACCAGCACUGACACUGAGGCACGAAAGCGUGGGGAGCAAACAGG
rnacentral:rRNA from 1 species